UAAUAAUUUUGGAAUACAACAGCCUUAUAAUCAUGUUACUAUGGCCAGAGCGCUUUGGCGGUGACUGCUGGACAAAUGUGGUACAGCAUGCACAAAUACACACCAGCAUAAACACUACCACAUCCAGAACCUGUGGAUUCCCAUGAGUCAGCGCACU